rnacentral:rRNA from 1 species
GAUGAACGCUGGCGGCGUGCCUAAUACAUGCAAGUCGAGCGAACGGACGAGAAGCUUGCUUCUCUGAUGUUAGCGGCGGACGGGUGAGUAACACGUGGAUAACCUACCUAUAAGACUGGGAUAACUUCGGGAAACCGUAGCUAAUACCGGAUAAUAUUUUGAACCGCAUGGUUCAAAAGUGAAAGACGGUCUUGCUGUCACUUAUAGAUGGAUCCGCGCUGCAUUAGCUAGUUGGUAAGGUAACGGCUUACCAAGGCAACGAUGCAUAGCCGACCUGAGAGGGUGAUCGGCCACACUGGAACUGAGACACGGUCCAGACUCCUACGGGAGGCAGCAGUAGGGAAUCUUCCGCAAAGGGCGAAAGCCUGACGGAGCAACGCCGCGUGAGUGAUGAAGGUCUUCGGAUCGUAAAACUCUGUUAUUAGGGAAGAACAUAUGUGUAAGUAACUAUGCACAUCUUGACGGUACCUAAUCAGAAAGCCACGGCUAACUACGUG